ACCAUCAAUCCAUCACCUCUCUCCUCGAUCCUAUUAGGGCUUCGCCUGCACUGCACCGAGCAUGCAACAAAAAUUAUAAAGCAUAAACUCAGGGUCUUGCUUUACUCGUCUGCUAAAGCUCAGGGGGUUGGGGAAACUAACGCCAUUAUGUUCAUGCUUUUAAUAGCGCUUGUUUUGCAAGGUAGUCGUCAUCUAUACAACUCCAUGAGAAUACCGUUGGAGGAAGAAGUGUGUGAAUAUGCAUGUUAUGAGAUUUCGAAGAGGAAAAGGAAAUAAAGUAUUACAGAACAAUACUGGAUCUGGAAUCUCCUUUCCUCAAGUUCUCUUGCACGAAACGUGGGAC
rnacentral:lncRNA from 1 species